rnacentral:rRNA from 1 species
UGGGGAAUUUUCCGCAAUGGGCGAAAGCCUUACGGAGCAAUGCCGCGUGGAGGUGGAAGGCCUACGGGUCGUCAACUUCUUUUCUCGGAGAAGAAACAAUGACGGUAUCUGAGGAAUAAGCAUCGGCUAACUCUGUGUCAG